rnacentral:rRNA from 1 species
AGUAGGAGUAGAUCAAGAAACCUAAAAUUUUUGGCGGUUUUCUAGGCUGGUUAGAGGAAUCUGCUUUUUAAUGGAUGGUCCUCCUUAGAUUUUACUUUUUUUUUAAAUAUCGCCGUCGACGACAGGUCAAGGUUUAGUAUAUGGAAGAGGUUGAAAUUGGAUUUAAGUGUUGAUAGUGGAGAGUUGAGCUCUGGGGAGUGU